GUCUACAGCCAUACUACCCUGAACACGCUUGAUCUCUGCUGAUCUCAGAAGCUAAGCAGGGUUGGGCCUGGUUAGUACUUGGAUCAGAGAAUUGUAUUUUGUAUAUUGUGGCUUAGAUC
rnacentral:rRNA from 1 species